CGUCAAGUCAGCAUGGCCUUUAUGGUCCUGGGCUACACACACGCUACAAUGGCCAACACAAUAGGUUGCUAAGCCGCGAGGUGGAGCCAAUCCUCAAAGUUGGUCUCAGUUCAGAUUGCAGGCUGCAACCCGCCUGCAUGAAGAUGGAGUUGCUAGUAACCGCAGGUCAGCUAUACUGCGGUGAAUACGUUCCCGGGGCCUU
rnacentral:rRNA from 1 species